GGAAGAUAGUUCUCAAUUAUAUUAAAAUGGAUCUCUUCACUCUCUCAAGCUGGGGAAUAUCUGGAUCUGAAUACAAGUACAAAUAAAAGGAUGAAAGUGGACAAAAUUGUAAGAAAGACUCAGUAAGAAGAUGCCAAUUGAAACUAGAAGAAAACUGAAUCAGAUGCAGUUGUCUCAGUCUAGAGCAAGCAGCCUAACCCUUUACAUAGGAAUAUAAGGAGAAUUAACUCCUUACUCACAAGAAUUACCACCAAAAAGCAACCAGAAGAACUCCGUGGACAGAGAAAAGAGCUGUGAGGACACAUCAGAAAGUAGAUGCAACUGAGCCUAAAACUUGGCAUCUGAUACUUCCACUGGGAAAUAAUUCUAUCAGAGAACACUGGCGCUUGUCUUCUCUCCCUCUCAAGACCCCAUUAUAAUGAAAGUCUGGAACUCUGAAAGUAAGGAAUUCAUCACAGAGAAGAAAUAUGCCGGGGAUAUCAAGAGGUCAAGAUCUACAGUAUAAGAGAGUUCAACAAAUGUCUGGAAAAUAGAUUGUAGUUGAAGUGGGUUGACAAAACUGUUGAAGAAUUUGCAGUCCAG
rnacentral:lncRNA from 1 species